rnacentral:lncRNA from 1 species
UCUCAUCGUCCUCAACCUUCGCUUAACCUCGCUCGCUUCUCACAAUCUCUCAUUCGCUCUCAAGCGCUACCCAUGAACUCUCUCACGCUCUCAGCAAACUCUCUCAAUCUCGUCUCUCUCAAACUCAGACGCUCAUUCAAACUCAAACGAAGUCUCUGUCAACAAAUACAUGAAAAUGAUAAAAGGAAAAAGGAAAGAAAUUCUCACAAAGUGUCACGGCGGCGGUGAGUUUGCAAGCUCCUGAUUUCGUCUCUCUUGUGGUUUUCUUUGAUUUCUUUGGGAUUAGGGUUUAUAGUCUCU